rnacentral:lncRNA from 1 species
CAGGUACGUGUGACGAAACCCAGCCUUUCCCGUAGAUUCUGGGGAACCUGGGUCGUAGUGCUUGUACAACAAAUGUUCUUACUUUUUCUAUGCUAUCUCCCCAGAGUCUGCUAAUAUAAAAAGUUUCUAUUAGUCGGUCUCUUACAGUUAUCUCCCAGAGGAAGGAAAGACGGAGGAAAAGCCUGGACCCUCUCAAUCAGCUCCUCACAAUAAAGGACAAACGGAACAAGAAUAAAGGAAAAUACACUUAAGACAAACACAGAGUCUCAAAAUCGCCAAGAUUCGAAGCUCCCCAGCUUUACUAACGCAAGUGAUGGAAUACUCUCUCCUAACAGUUUGUGGUCCAGGACCCCCUAUUGGUAACUCCGCUCACCUCUGCGCCAAUCCUUCCCCUCCCCCGCCCCCCGCCCCCACUCGAGCGUUGGAUGCCCCACUGCGCUCUCUGAAGGUAAUGAACCACUUCCUUCUGCUCGGCUUGGCGUGCCUGGCACUGCUAGUUACAUU